AUAGAGCUUAUAUAGGAAUGCUGCGAUAGGUGUCGUAUUCCUAUAGGUAGAUGUGAUCAGCUGAGAAUCAGCUGAUGCAAGCUUGACUCACGUGACCUGCCAGAACUAACGCUAACGCUUAAUUAAUAUUUAAAAAAAAUUAUGCGAAUAUAUGGUGGUUGAAAUACAAUACUGCGUGAUCUCAACCAAUCAGCAUGCUCAGCGCCUAAGUCCCGCCCCCGAAAGUUCUGGACCUUUGGAAAAAUACUACCUCGCGAGCAGGGACUUUCUGAGGGGCUUUAUUUAGAUCCUGAUUCCUGCAGUGGAAACACAUCGAAUUCCGCCCAAUGUCCCUAGUUCCUGCGGUGGAAACGGUGCUUUAGAUGGCCUACUAUCAUCACUUUAUUUUGGUAGAAAGUAGAGCGAGAGAUCAAUAGGAAAGACAGUAUUGAGAAAUGGCACGAGGCUCGAACUCUACCACACAUGUGAGAACCAUUGCUAAACAUAGCUAACUUUAAUCCACCUCAAAUAGGUUUUCUUCGCAUAUAUCAUCCUGUCUCUCAUUUCACCACUUCAUCCUGUUUUCUCUUAAAUCAGACUAACUACUAACUCACCCCCUCCUUUCACUUCAGAACCCACGCCUAAGGAGACAGAGGUUACACGCCGCUUUUCUUUAGCCUCAACUGUCAGCUCCGCCUCUGCACCGCGCACUAAAGUUCCUCUCUCCUCUAGCCUUAAGAGCAAGAGGCAUCAGGUCAAGAGCGACCCUACACCAUUUGGCUAUGAAGACACCAUGCGAGGUGCACUUCCCGCUGAGAGCAAAAGUAAAGGUAGUGCCGGUACCAAGCCCGCUGUGCCGAGGUCUGCGUCUCAACCAGGAUGGAGUCAACGGCGUCUGCCAUCAAUGGACGCUGAGGAUUUUGAGACCAUUCCAUCAAGUGCAGAAGAACUCUCCAUUUCCUCAGAUGGAGAGGAUGAAGGACAAAACAAAAACGUGUGUGUCUGGCUCUACAACAUCUUCAUUUACUUUCUGUCAGCAUAUCUCAUUCGUUUCUUUGCAUAUUUGUAUUGAGGGACAAAAAAAGUCAAAUAUUCCUUAAAGGGAUAGUUCACCCCG
rnacentral:lncRNA from 1 species